UACGUAGGGUGCAAGCGUUGUCCGGAAUUAUUGGGCGUAAAGAGCUCGUAGGCGGUCUGUCGCGUCUGCUGUGAAAUCUCAGGGCUUAACCCUGAGCUUGCAGUGGGUACGGGCAGACUAGAGUGCGGUAGGGGAGACUGGAAUUCCUGGUGUAGCGGUGAAAUGCGCAGAUAUCAGGAGGAACACCGAUGGCGAAGGCAGCUCGCUGGGACGGUACUGACGCUGAGACGCGAAAGCGUGGGGAGCGAACAGG
rnacentral:rRNA from 1 species